UCUCUCACACUCACUCACAGCAGCGCGAGCUCGGAGGAUGGAGGCGACUGAAGCGGUGGUUGGAGAAGGGAGGAGAGACCAUGGUAUGGGAACAAUAGGUCAUAUCUGAGAAUGAGAGCCAAGCAUUUCCAGUUCAACUACAGGUGAAACAUCACGACACACAUGAUGCAUCCUCCGGCUGUAUACUAUUAUGGUG